rnacentral:miRNA from 1 species
UUAUCAGACUUGUUACAAGGUUGUUCUAACAAGUCUGAUACAGUCAUGAUAUAACAAGAAUGUUACAAGGUUGACGACACGAGGUUGUAACAGUAUUGUUAUAUCAUGACUGUAUAGGACUUGUUGGAACAACCUUGCAACAAGUCUGAUAA